rnacentral:rRNA from 1 species
GACGUAGGAUGCGAGCGUUAUUCGGAUUUAUUGGGCGUAAAGCGUGCGUAGGCGGCUGUUUAAGUCUGGUGUUAAAGCUAGGGGCUCAACCCCUGUGGUGCAUCGGAUACUGGGCAGCUUGAGUGCGGUAGAGGAAGGUGGAAUUCCGAGUGUAGCGGUGAAAUGCGUAGAUAUUCGGAAGAACACCGGUGGCGAAGGCGACCUUCUGGGCCGCAACUGACGCUGAGGAGCGAAAGCGUGGGGAGCGAACAGG